GGUCAGGACGAACGCUGGCGGCGUGCUAACACAUGCAAGUCGAACGGGUGAUUUAAGCUGCUUAGAUGAGCCUAGUGGCAAACGGGUGAGUAACGCGUAGGCAACCUGCCUCUAAGAUGGGGACAACAGUCCGAAAGGACUGCUAAUACCGAAUGUUGUGAGUUUUCCGCAUGGGAGACUCAUUAAAGAUGGCCUCUACUUGUAAGCUAUCACUUAGAGAUGGGCCUGCGUCUGAUUAGCUAGUUGGCGGGGUAACGGCCCACCAAGGCGACGAUCAGUAGCCGGUCUGAGAGGAUGAACGGCCACAUUGGGACUGAGACACGGCCCAGACUCCUACGGGAGGCAGCAGUGGGGAAUCUUCCGCAAUGGGCGAAAGCCUGACGGAGCAACGCCGCGUGAGUGAAGAAGGUCUUCGGAUCGUAAAGCUCUGUCGAAGGGGACGAACGUGGGUUCUAUCAACAACGGAACCUAAUGACGGUACCUUUCAAGAAAGCCACGGCUAACUACGUGCCAGCCGCGGC
rnacentral:rRNA from 1 species